UGGUCAUUACCAAGGCUGCUAGGAUGUUGCUGUUUCUGGUGAGCUGUGGACAUGACCAUAAAACAAUCCCAUCAGACCCUUAAGUUGCCACACAAUGUGGCACCAAGUCUGCUGGGAACAAAG
rnacentral:snoRNA from 1 species